rnacentral:lncRNA from 1 species
AAGAAAACAGCCAAUGGACACCAAUGGUGUCUUCAUCACAGCGAGAAAAUCCUGCACCUGGAGGCAGACUUCAAAACAAAAAUCUGACUAUCCACCAAAACAUACAAAUGAACUAAAAUUAAAAAUAAUACAAGACUAACAAAGUCCACAGGAUCCUGACUAGGGACAGGCACAAAAAUGUGGUGGGGUAAAACAUGUUAUAGUGAGAUCACAGCCCUCCACUCAUACCUCUAGCCAAUGUAGAAAAAACAAACACAGCAAUACUCACAGUAAAACUCAUUUUAAAAGUACACUUAA